GGGCCCGUAGUCUAGCCCGGCUAUGAUGCUGCCUUGACAUGGCAGAGGUCCCCGGUUCAAAUCCGGGCGGGCCCA
rnacentral:tRNA from 1 species